GCAGCCCUUCCCCCUCCUACACCUCCUCCUCCGUAGUGCUUAGCGAAGCUUUGCCGGAGAACCACGAGCUCCACCGCCACCAUGCCGUCGUGCUUCCGGAGCUCUCCCUCAACUUCUCCUCCCACUUUGCUGGAUCAGGAAGGAGGAGCCGUCCCCGGGCUGUACGUGUGUUGAGCGCGGAGGCGCCGCCCGUUCGGUGCUUGGAUCGGAUCUUCCACGAUUUGAAUCGCCGCGAGUAUGAUUCCAUCAACCGCGUUCUUUGCAACGCUUCCGCUUAGCGAUCUUCAAGGGUAUGAAGAUGCACUCCCUCUCUAUUGUUGCUAGCAUCUCCUAGAUUGAUCUUGGUGACACGUAGGAAUUUUUUGAAUUAUUACUAUGUUCCCCAAUAGUGGCAUCAUGAGCUAGGUCUAUGCGUAGAUUCUAUGCACGAGUAGAACACAAGUAAGUUGUGGGCUAUGAUUUGGUCAAUUUUCUUACCAUUACUAGUCCUAUAUUGAUUCGGCGGCAUUGUGGGAUGAAGCGGCCCGGACCAACCUUACAUGUAUACUUACAUGAGAGUGGUUCAACCGCCUGACAUGCACUUGUUGCAUAAGGUGGCUAGCGGGUGUCUGUCUCUCCCACUUUAGUCGGAUCGGAUUUGAUGAGGAGGGUCCUUAUGAGCGGUAAAUAGCAAUUGGCAUAUCACCAUUGUGGAUGUAACAUAGCUGAGAAACGUUCUUGCUAGAAACCUAUAGCAGCCACGUAAAACUUGCAACAACAAUUAGAGGACGUCUAACUUAUUUUUGCAGGAUAUGCUAUGUGAUGUGAUAUGGCCAAAGAAUGUGAUGAAAUAUAUUUGAUGUAUCAGAUUGAUCAUGUUCUUGUAAUAGGAAUCACGACUUGCAUGUCAAUGUGUAUGACAACCGGUAGGAGCCAUAAGAGUUGUCUUAAUUUAUUGUGUGACAUGCAUGUCAAUCAAAAACGCCAUAUGAUUAAUUUACUUUGUUGCUAACCAUUAGCCAUAGUAGUAGAAAUAAUAGUUGGCGAUACAACUUAAUGAAGACACGAUGAUGGAGAUCAUGAUGAUGGAGAUCAUGGUGUCGUGCCGGUGACAAUGGUGAUCAUGCCGCGCCCCGGACAUGGAGAUCAAAGGCGCAAGAUGAUAUCGGCCAUAUCAUGUCACUUUAUAAUUUGCAUGUGAUUUUUAUCAUGUUUUUACAUCUUAUUUUCUUAUAAUUAUGGUAGUAAAUAAGAUGAUCCCUCAC
rnacentral:lncRNA from 1 species